rnacentral:rRNA from 1 species
AGAGUUUGAUCAUGGCUCAGAGCGAACGCUGGCGGCAGGCUUAACACAUGCAAGUCGAGCGGGCGUAGCAAUACGUCAGCGGCAGACGGGUGCGUAACGCG